CCUACGGGUGGCAGCAGUGAGGAAUAUUGGUCAAUGGGCGUAAGCCUGAACCAGCCAAGUCGCGUGAGUGAUGAAGGUUCUCUGGAUCGUAAACCUCUUUUAUAAGGGAAUAAAGUGUGGGACGUGUCCUAUUUUGUAUGUACCUUAUGAAUAAGGAUCGGCUAACUCCGUGCCAGCAGCCGCGGUAAUACGGAGGAUCCGAGCGUUAUCCGGAUUUAUUGGGUUUAAAGGUUGCGUAGGCGGCCUUUUAAGUCAGUGGUGAAAGUCUGUGGCUCAACCAUAGAAUUGCUGUUGAAACUGGUGGGCGUGAGUAUGUUUGAGGCAAGCGGAAUGCGUGGUGUAGCGGUGGAAUGCUUAGAUAUCAGGCAGAACCCCGAUGGCGAAGGCAGCCGGCCAGGCCAUGACUGACGCUGAUGCACGAAAGCGUGGGGAGCAAACAGGAUUAGAUACCCUUGUAGUC
rnacentral:rRNA from 1 species